rnacentral:rRNA from 1 species
GACGGAGGGCGCAAGCGUUGUUCGGAAUUACUGGGCGUAAAGCGCGAGCAGGCGGUUCGUUAAGUCCCCUGUGAAAUCCCGGGGCUCAACUCCGGAGUUGCAGGGGAUACUGGCGGACUGGAGACCGGUAGAGGCAAGCGGAAUUCCUGGUGUAGCGGUGGAAUGCGUAGAUAUCAGGAAGAACACCUGUGGCGAAGGCGGCUUGCUGGGCCGGUUCUGACGCUGAACCGCGAAAGCGUGGGGAGCGAACAGG